rnacentral:tRNA from 1 species
GCUGGCGUAGCUCAAUUGGCAGAGCACCUGAUUUGUAAUCAGAAGGUUGCGGGUUCAAGUCCCAUCGCCAGCU